rnacentral:rRNA from 1 species
GAUGAACGCUGGCGGCGUGCCUAACACAUGCAAGUCGAGCGAACAGACGAGGAGCUUGCUCCUCUGACGUUAGCGGCGGACGGGUGAGUAACACGUGGAUAACCUACCUAUAAGACUGGGAUAACUUCGGGAAACAGGAGCUAAUACCGGAUAAUAUAUUGAACCGCAUGGUUCAAUAGUGAAAGACGGUUUUGCUGUCACUUAUAGAUGGAUCCGCGCCGCAUUAGCUAGUUGGUAAGGUAACGGCUUACCAAGGCGACGAUGCGUAGCCGACCUGAGAGGAUGAUCGGCCACACUGGAACUGAGACACGGUCCAGACUCCUACGGGAGGCAGCAGUGGGGAAUCUUCCGCAAUGGGCGAAAGCCUGACGGAGCAACACCGCGUGAGUGAUGAAGGUCUUCGGGUCGUAAAGCUCUGUUGUUGGGAAAGAACAAAUGUGUAAGUAACCAUGCACGUCUUGACGGUACCUAAACAAAAAGCCCCGGCUAACUACGUG